rnacentral:rRNA from 1 species
UACAGGGGGCUCGAGCGUUAGUCGGAAUCACUGGGCUUAAAGGGUGCGUAGGCGGCCCGCCAAGUGCUUUGUGAAAUCCCCGAGCUCAACUCGGGAACAGCAGGGCAAACUGGCGGGCUUGAAGCAGGUAGGGGCUGGAAGAACAGUAGGUGGAGCGGUGAAAUGCGUAGAUAUCUACUGGAAUGCCGAUGGGGAAGCCGUCCAGCUGGGCCUGUCUUGACGCUGAGGCACGAAAGCGUGGGGAGCAAACAGG